rnacentral:misc_RNA from 1 species
GUAUUAUUUAGGGCUCAUAUUUUCAGUCAAUUUCAGAUGAUGUCAUCCAUAACCACAAGUUGGGACAAAAUUGGUUGUGCUAUAGUACAUAGUACUAGCAUUCAAUAAUGAUCCUUCCGCAGGUUCACCUACGGAAA